AGAGUUUGAUCAUGGCUCAGAUUGAACGCUGGCGGCAUGCCUUACACAUGCAAGUCGAACGGCAGCAUGACGUGUAGCAAUACACGUUGAUGGCGAGUGGCGAACGGGUGAGUAAUAUAUCGGAACGUGUCCUGUAGCGGGGGAUAACCUAUCGAAAGAUGGACUAAUACCGCAUACGCUCUACGGAGGAAAGCGGGGGUCGCAAGACCUCGCACUAUAGGAGCGGCCGAUAUCGGAUUAGCUAGUUGGCGGGGUAAAAGCCCACCAAGGCGACGAUCCGUAGCUGGUCUGAGAGGAUGAUCAGCCACACUGGAACUGAGACACGGUCCAGACUCCUACGGGAGGCAGCAGUGGGGAAUUUUGGACAAUGGGCGCAAGCCUGAUCCAGCCAUGCCGCGUGAGUGAAGAAGGCCUUCGGGUUGUAAAGCUCUUUCGGCAGGAACGAAAUGGUUCGUGCUAAUACCACGGACUGAUGACGGUACCUGAAGAAGAAGCACCGGCUAACUACGUGCCAGCAGCCGCGGUAAUACGUAGGGUGCAGGCGUUAAUCGGAAUUACUGGGCGUAAAGCGUGCGCAGGCGGUUUCUUAAGUCAGAUGUGAAAGCCCCGGGCUUAACCUGGGAACUGCGUUUGAAACUGGGAGACUUGAGUGUGGCAGAGGGGGGUGGAAUUCCACGUGUAGCAGUGAAAUGCGUAGAUAUGUGGAGGAACACCGAUGGCGAAGGCAGCCCCCUGGGUUAACACUGACGCUCAUGCACGAAAGCGUGGGGAGCAAACAGGAUUAGAUACCCUAGUAGUCC
rnacentral:rRNA from 1 species